GAUGAAGAACGUAGCGAAAUGCGAUACUUGGUGUGAAUUGCAGAAUCCCGUGAACCAUCGAGUCUUUGAACGCAAGUUGCGCCUCAAGCCAUUAGGUUGAGGGCACGUCUGCCUGGGCGUCACAUAUCGUUGCCUGAUGCCAGUUUCCUCGUGAUGGGUGACUGUGCAGGGCGAAUGAUGGCUUCCCGUGAGCAUUGUUGCCUCAUGGUUGGUUGAAAAUUGAGUCCUUGGUAGGGAGCGCCGUGAUAGAUGGUGGUUGAGUGACGAACGAGACCCAAUCAUGUGAGACCCCUACCGAAUUUGGCCUUCAUGACCCACAUGCGUCUUUGGAACGCUCAUGUCGAGACCUCAGGUCAGGCGGGGCUACCCGCUGAGUUUAAGCAUAUCAAUAAGCGGAGA
rnacentral:misc_RNA from 1 species